GUGGGGAAUAUUGGGCAAUGGGGGCAACCCUGACCCAGCGACGCCGCGUGGGUGAAGAAAUCCCUCGGGAUGUAAAGCCCUGUUGUAUGGGAAGAGCAGAAGACGGUACCAUACGAGGAAGCCCCGGCAAACUACGUGCCAGCAGCCGCGGUAAUACGUAGGGGGCAAGCGUUGUCCGGAAUUACUGGGCGUAAAGCGCACGCAGGCUGAAUUAUAAGUCGGUAGUCAAAUACGGAGGCUCAACUUCCGGAUAUCUAUCGAUACUGUAAAUCUAGAGUAUGUGAGAGGGAAGCGGGAUUCCCGGUGUAGCGGUGAAAUGCGUAGAUAUCGGGAGGAACACCAGUGGCGAAGGCGGCUUCCUGGCACAAUACUGACGCUCAUGUGCGAAAGCUAGGGCAGCGAACGGGAUUAGAAACCCCAGUAGUCC
rnacentral:rRNA from 1 species